GGGAAGGGGGACAUACGGAUUAAAAAGGUGCUCCUUCCAUUAUCAAUAAUUUACAGAUAUACUGAGCUGCUUCCUCAGACCAAGAAAUUUUGAAAUUAAAGAGCUCCCAGAAUUUCAACUUGUUGAACCUCAGUAGUUUACAAUGAAAAUGUGAGAAGAUUGCUGACUCUACAGAACCAAUAUGGAGGAGCCCAACUAGUUUGUUGAAGAGAAAAAAGGAUGUGCUGAUGAGCAACAUAGUGUGUACUGAAGAAAAACCUCCAUGUGGCUGCAAAAGGCGUGAAUACAACCAAUGUAUGGAAAGUCCUGA